AAAGGUUGAUGAUCUAAAAGGAGCUGCUAACUCCCUUUUAAAGCGGUUAAAUUCCGUUUACCUUUU
rnacentral:tRNA from 1 species